rnacentral:rRNA from 1 species
GAUGAACGCUGGCGGCGUGCCUAAUACAUGCAAGUCGAGCGAACAGACGAGGAGCUUGCUCCUCUGACGUUAGCGGCGGACGGGUGAGUAACACGUGGAUAACCUACCUAUAAGACUGGGAUAACUUCGGGAAACCGGAGCUAAUACCGGAUAAUAUAUUGAACCGCAUGGUUCAAUAGUUAAAGACGGUUUUGCUGUCACUUAUAGAUGGAUCCGCGCCGCAUUAGCUAGUUGGUAAGGUAACGGCUUACCAAGGCAACGAUGCGUAGCCGACCUGAGAGGGUGAUCGGCCGCAGGGGAGCUAAGACACGGUCCAGACGCGGACGGGAGGCAGCAGCAGGAAUUCUUCGGCAAGGGGCGAAAGCCUAACGGAGCAACGCCGCGAGAGUGAGGAGGGGCUUCGGAUCGUAAAACACUGUUAUUAGGGAAGAACAAAGGUGUAAGUAACGAUGCAAGUCUGGACGGAACCGAAGCAGAAGGCCACGGCAAACUACUU